rnacentral:rRNA from 1 species
UAUUGGACUACCAUGGCAGUCACGGGUAACGGAGAAUUAGGGUUCGGUUCCGGAGAGGGAGCCUGAGAAACGGCUACCACAUCUAAGGAAGGCAGCAGGCGCGUAAAUUACCCAAUCCUGAUUCAGGGAGGUAGUGACAAGAAAUAACAACCUGGGGGCCUCACGGCCUUACGGGAUUGUAAUGAGAACAAUUUAAACGACUUAACGAGGAACAAUUGGAGGGCAAGUCUGGUGCCAGCAGCCGCGGUAAUUCCAGCUCCAAUAGCGUAUAUUAAAGUUGUUGCAGUUAAAAAGCUCGUAGUUGAACUUCUGCAUGUGCCCAGUUCUGGCUUCGGUCAAGCUGUGGUGUAUGCAUCCGCUUGCAAAGCUAGACCGGUCUUCAUUGAUCGACUAGUGGAGUAGGCUCUUUACCUUGAAAAAAUUAGAGUGUUUCAGGCAGGCAAUGGCUCGAAUACAUUAGCAUGGAAUAAUGGAAUAGGACUUUUGUCCAUUUGGUUGGUUAUUGGACAUAAGUAAUGAUUAAAAGGGACAGUUGGGGGCAUUAGUAUUUAAUUGUCAGAGG